AUUUGAAAGUCUCAUAUUUGUUAGUGAGCUUGCAUCCUGGUGGCUUCCAUUGAACACUAGAUCAGCGGAGGCAAUCCAUGUGAAGGAUAUUGAACAAUCAAAUUUGCAGGAGAAAAAUCAGAGCUGAGUUAUGCUUUCGAAUGGAGGAUAUAUCCACAAGGAACUAGCGAUAACACAAGGAGGCCAAUCAUGGUUUACAUGCAUGAUAAAGAAGCUGGUGGUUUAAUAGCACUACCUGAAUAUGGCCAAUAGUGUGGGACAGAAGAUCCCAUCAAAUUUCUUUAUCAUGGUUACGACCAUUAUGAAGCUCUGCAGAUACCGGGAAAGGGCGGUCCAAGGUCAAGAUUGUAACAUUUUCAACUCAGCUUUUCAAAUGAGGUUGGCUUCGAACUUCGACUUCCUCCAACUGAAGAUAUGGGACUGUAUUAGCCUAUCAUGUCCUAAACUCCCGUGUAUGAUCUGGUUUGAUGAUUCUUGUAAAAACUCCAGUUAUGGCUAAUCGUGGGUGAUGUCGAUCAUGGUCCGCGUGUUUCUUAUAGAAAGGGACUAGAUUGAUUGACUUACAUUGCAGUUUUGUUUGUCGUAUAGCUUUUAACACAUUUCUGGGUGGUGACGGUUGGAUAUUUGGAACCUGCGUUUCUUUCGUAAUCUGCAA